CUCCAGAAGCUGGAUUUGUCACAUUGAAUUAGAAGAUAAAAACUGGGGUAGCCUCAAAAAAUCUUUUAAAAAAAAAGUUAUUCUCAAUUUGAUACAGUAGCAGCAGACUCCAAUGGAGAUUGAUCCUUGAGUGCUUCCCAGUCAACUUGCCUCAAUAUUUCAAACCUCUCAUUCAAUGUGACAAAUCCAGCUUCUGGAGAAACAACACCACAAGUUCCAGCCUUAUGCAGACAGGAUCACACUAGAACCUAUAUCGGGGCCAUGGAGCUUUCCGGUUAGCAAUAACCUAAGUGGCAUGAAAAGUGAUUUCCCCUUGCGCUUAAGAGAUUUGCCGAAGUUCUUCACCCACUUCUGCCAACCAGAUGGGCCUUCUUCUAGGGCACUUAGGAGUUCACCACUGUCAUAUGCAGCUAAGAGCCUGGAUGAAACUUCAAAAAGCUUAUCUUCUACAACUGUCUUACCUUCUGGACUCACUAAAGUAGCAUGUAAGGGAUAAGAUAGCAAAUUUGACAGUGCUUUGUCCGAAUCAGUCACCAAGUCAAUCCCAUCUUUUAGUAGCUGAACUGCUUCUUCUAUAAAUGAUCCUUCUGACUCCACAAGGAUACCAGUGUUCUUCCAAUGUUCACCAAUAAGGUUGAUCAAUUUCUCUGAUGAAAGUGCUCUUAAAUGCUGACCAUUCAUCCACCUCAAUUUUGUAGAGUCAAAAAUGGCACCACUUUUGUUAACGCGGCUGAUUGAGAAUUUUUCAACAAGUUGCUCAAGGGUGAAAAACUCAUUUUCUGUUCCAUCGCCCCAACCUAAAAGUGCCAGGUAAUUCACCAUUGCUUGGGGAAGAUACCCCAUCUCCUUGAACUGACCCACUGAAGUUGCACCAUGCCGUUUUGACAAUUUACUCCGAUCCGGAGCAAGAAUUAAAGAAACAUGUGCAAAGGAAGGCAUGGGGAAUCCAAGAGCCUUAUAUAUCAAUGCUUGCCUGAGAGUAUUGGGCAAAUGCUCUUCAGCUCUUAUCACAUGCGAGAUGGCCAUGGUAGCAUCAUCAACUGUAACACAAAAGUUAUACACAGGUUGUCCAUUGCUCCUCAUAAUUACAAAAUCUCCAAGUGUGUCCAAGUUCCAGCUAACUUCACCCCGAAUAAGGUCAUUAAUUUUCAAACUCCCCUCCUUUGGCACACGAAACCGAUAUGUGUAAGGAGUUCCCUUUGCAAGCUCUUCCUGUACUUCUUCAUCAGUUGCAGUAGCCCACUUCCCAGUGUACACUGGAGGCAACUGCUUUAGUUUUGCAAUUUCCUUCAUUUUCUCUAGUUCCUCAUUAGAACAAAAGCAGCGAUAAACAUGACCAGAUUCCAAGAGUUUCUCAGCAUAUUGCUUAUACAAAGAAUUCCUUUCAGAUUGUCGAUAUGGACCGUAGUCUCCACCAACAUCAGGCCCUUCAUCCCAGUCAAGGUCAAGCCAAGAAAGAUCCCGGAGCACUGCCUCCUCUGAUUGCUUAGAUGAUCUCUCCAAGUCAGUAUCUUCAAUCCUCAACACAAAUUUGCCUCCAUUGGACCUAGCAAAAAGGUAA
rnacentral:misc_RNA from 1 species